rnacentral:rRNA from 1 species
UACAGAGGUCCCAAGCGUUGUUCGGAUUCACUGGGCGUAAAGGGUGCGUAGGUGGUGAGGUAAGUCGGAUGUGAAAGCUCGGAGCUCAACUCCGAAAUGGCAUUGGAAACUACCUUGCUCGAGGGUUGGAGGGGGGACUGGAAUACUUGGUGUAGCAGUGAAAUGCGUAGACAUCAAGUGGAACACCAGUGGCGAAGGCGAGUCCCUGGACAACUCCUGACACUGAGGCACGAAAGCUAGGGAGCAAACAGG